UUUUUUUUUUUUCUUUUUUUUUAUAGAAUAAAAUACAUAUAUUUAAAUACAAUUACAGUCACACAGAUUAUUAUAUCAUGGAUCUUAAGAAAGAGAUUAAGUGACUCCCUCUAGAGAAGUGGAAUGGAAAAUAUACUGAGACAAAUAGGAAAUUUAUUCUAUACAUUAUCCCAUUUUGUAUGGCUUUCAUCUUUACUAUUUAGUAUUAUCUAUUACAUUUCAAUUUUUCUUAAAAAAUUAGCAUUAUAUUAACAUUGUGUAUAUUAUGCAACUAAAAUUUAUAAAGAAAGCCUUAUAUACCAUUAAAUAUUUUAUAUAGCAUAAUAAAAAGAAUAACUUAACUGGUAAGAAUAACAAAAAUAAUACACCCUCUGAAAAUAAGUAAAAUAUAAAAUGCAUAAAUUGGUUAAAAAACAGUGUAACUAUAUAAAUAUGUCCUCACAAUUUGUUACAUCUUAUUGAUUCUUCAAUAUAGGCAUUACACCAUUCUAGGUGAUGUGAUAAACAAGACAUUAUAGACCUUACAUUGUACCAUGGAGAGAAAUGGUUAUUAAUAAUACAAUUGUAGAACUGUAUUAUUUAAUUGUACAGUUGCAUUAUUUAAUUAUAAUUAUCAUAAAUUCUUUGAUGGAGAGGAAAUCAGAAUCAGAUCUAAGAAGACUUCAGCAUUCCAAGAAUGAUGUCAAAUGACCCCCUUCAUGGUGGAUUAUGCACUUAUUUACUAUGAGAUAUAUUUCUUCUCCAGAGAUUCCUUGUUUGUGUAUCAAUUGUAGAUUUUUGGUUUGCAGUUAUUCUGAAGUUUUGAUAUAAGAGUCUAUAUGUAUAUGAGAUUGUUUUAAGUUGUUGUUCUCUUAAUUGCAAGUUCAUCUCCAGUGUCCUGCAUUUGUACCCACCUCUUCUCAUGAUUUCUGAUUUUGGUGGUAUAAUUGUGCAUGGAUGAUUUCAUAUCUUUACUGUAUAUAUACCUUUACUGGUGAGCCUUGUCAUUUGUGGUAUUUUUGUUUCCUGUUGCUGUCUUUUCUUUUCUGCCUAGAGAAGUUCCUUUAGUAUUUGUUGUCAGGCUGGUUUAGUGUUGCUGAAUUCACUCAGCUUUUGCUUAUCUGUGAAGCUUUUGAUUUCUCCUUCAAAUCUGAAUGAGAGCCUUGCUGGGUAAAGUAAUCUUGGUUGGGGGUUUUUUCCUUUCAUUAUGUUAAGUGUUUCAUGCCACUGCCUUCCUGCCUGCAGAGUUUCUGCUGAAAAAUCUGCCAAUAACCUUAUUGGGGUUCCCUGGUAUGUUAUUUGUUUCUUUUCCCUAUCUGCUUUCAAGAUUUUCUCUUUGUCUUUAAUUUUGGUCAGUUUGAUUAAUAUGUGUCUUGGUGUAUUCCUCCUUGAGUUUGUUUUAUAUGAUACUCGUUGUGCUUCCUGGAUUUGAGUGAGUGGUUCCUUUCCCAUGUUAGGGAAGUUUUCGGUUAUUAUCUCUUGGAACAUUAUUUCUGUCCCCUUCUCUCUCUUUUCUCCUUCUGGCACCCCUAUAAUAUGGAUGUUGAUGCAUUUGCCAUUGUCCCAGAGUUCUCUGAGACUCUCUUCAUUUGUUUUCCAUCUUUUUUCUCUUUUCUGUUCCACAUCCUUAAUUUCCACUAAUCUGUCCUCCACCUCACUUAUUUGUUCUUCUGCCUCCUGUAUUCUGCUAUUAGCUGCUUCUACUGAGUUUUUUAUUUCAGUGAUUGUAUUUUGCAUCUCUUUGUGUUUAAGUUGUAUAUCUUGUAUCACAUUGUUCAGUGUUUCCUGUAAGUUAUCCAUCUUUGCCUCCAGUUUAUUUCUAAUGUCUUACAUCCUCUUCAGCAUCAACAGUCUAAAGUCUUUUUCCUGGAUGCUGAGAAUCUCCUCAUCACUUAGCUUAUUUUCUGGGGUUUUUUCUUUCUUCCUCAUCUGAGAUGUAGUUCUCUGUCUUUUUAUUUUUAUAGGUUUUUGGCGUGGUGACCUUUUUUACAUAUAAUAGAGUUGUAGCCUCUCUUACUUCUGGUGUCUGCCCCCCUUGUGGCUGAAGUCAUAUGGGGGCUUGCUGUAGGCUUCCUGAUGGGAGGGGCUGAUGCCUGCCCACUGGUAGGUGGAGCUGAUUCUAAUCCCUCUGGUGGGUGGGGCUUAGUCUCUGAAUGGGAUUAGAGGCAGCUGUGUUCCUGAGGGGUCUUUAUGCAGCCUGCUUACUGAGGGGUGGGGCUGUGAUCCCACCUGGAUUGUUGUUUGGCCUGGGGCUUCUCAGGCUGACUGAUGGGUGGGGCCAUAUUUUCCCAAAAUGGCCACCUCCAGAGAAAGGCAUGCUGCUGAAUAUUCCCGAGAGCUUUGCUUCCAGUACCCUUCCCCCACAACAAGCCACAUUCACCCCUGUUUUCCCAGGAGGUCCUCCAAGAACUGCAGUCAGGUCUGACCUAGAUUACUAUGGAGA
rnacentral:lncRNA from 1 species